rnacentral:sRNA from 1 species
CCAUAGCCCCGAUGGUAGCGGCAUCCUUUUUUGUUUUGUCCAUAUUUUCAAUCAAAUGACAAAACGUCGUAAACAAAAAAGAUAUAGCGGACAGCGGGAUCAAGC